AUUGAACGCUGGCGGCAUGCUUUACACAUGCAAGUCGAACGGUAACAGGCCGCAAGGUGCUGACGAGUGGCGGACGGGUGAGUAAUGCAUCGGAACGUGCCCAGUCGUGGGGGAUAACUACUCGAAAGAGUAGCUAAUACCGCAUACGAUCUAUGGAUGACAGCGGGGGACCGUAAGGCCUCGCGCGAUUGGAGCGGCCGAUGUCAGAUUAGGUAGUUGGUGGGGUAAAGGCUCACCAAGCCAACGAUCUGUAGCUGGUCUGAGAGGACGACCAGCCACACUGGGACUGAGACACGGCCCAGACUCCUACGGGAGGCAGCAGUGGGGAAUUUUGGACAAUGGGCGCAAGCCUGAUCCAGCCAUGCCGCGUGCAGGAAGAAGGCCUUCGGGUUGUAAACUGCUUUUGUACGGAACGAAACGGCUCUGGUUAAUACCCGGGGCUAAUGACGGUACCGUAAGAAUAAGCACCGGCUAACUACGUG
rnacentral:rRNA from 1 species